rnacentral:lncRNA from 1 species
GAAAAAAGCAACAGGAGUCCAUCCCAUUCUCUUGAGACAACAGGUUCACUGAUCACAGAGAAAAUUUCUUUUCCCUCAGAGUUUAGGCACCUUCAGGUCUGUGCUGUCACCAAUAUCCUUACUGCUACUGCCAUGGAGCAGGGAUUCAAGAUAACCAAAGGAAGACAAAGAAAAUACAGAAUUAUCUACAAUAGCCAAGAAGUGGAAGCAACCCAAGUGUCCACCAAACGACAGAUGGAUAAAGAAAAUGAGGGACAAAAUGGCAGCAGCCAGCCUGACCAUUCCCUUCCCAUCAUGAGGGAGAGGGCUGUGGUAUGGACAGCAGCAGCUGACUGGCCACAGGUGCAGCCACUGCCAUCCAGCCCCGACUCAUUCCUAGAAUAAGAACCACCAGACUGCCCUCUGACACCUGCCUCAGCGGUCCCCACCACUCCUCAAACCCUGUCACCGUCCACAGACAAGCCCUGGAGGGGUGGGGAAAAGGUGGGGCUCUGGGGCUUCUUUUUCAGAGAUGGGAGGUGCACAGGCUGGGGAGGAACCCCCAGAGUAUGCAAUCUUUUAGGACUGGCUUCUUUCACUUAGCAGUAUGCAUUUAAGAUUUUUUAUUGUUGUUGUUUGGGGUUUUGUUGUUGCUGUUGUUGUUCUUGUUGUUUCUUUUGGUUGUUGUUGUUGUUGUUUUGAGACAGGGUCUCACUCUAUCGCCCAGGCUGAAGUGCAGUGGUGCAAUUAGGCUCACUGCAACUUCUACCUCCCAAGUUUAAGCCAUUCUCGUGCCUCAACCUCCACAGGAGCUGGGAUUAUAGGUGCGCACCACCAUGCCUGGCUACAUUUAAGGUUUAUACAUAUAUAUAUUUUGUGUGUGUGUGUGUGUGUGUGUGGCUUGAUAGCUUACUUUUUAACUUCUGAAUAGUAUUUCAUUGUAUGGAUAUGCCAUAGUUUGUUUAUUCAUUCACCUGUUGAAGUUUUUGGUGAUUAUGAAUAAGGCUGCUAUAAACAUAAGCAUGCAGGGUUUUGUACAGACAAAAGUUUUUAACUCAAUUGUUUAAUUACCUAGGAGCGUAAUUGUGGGACUGGAUUGUAACAUUGUCUUUAGCAUUGUCAGAAACUGCUAAACUGUCUUCUGAGGUUUCAAUGUUAUUUUACAUUUCUAAUAGCAAUGAAUGAGAGUUCCUUUUGCUCUCCAUCUUUGCCAGUAGCUGGUAGUGCCAGUUUUUUGUUUUUAUUUUAGCCAUUCUAAUGGGUGUGUAGUGGUAUUUCAUUAUUGUUUAAUUUGCAAUUUUCUAAUGACGUAUAAUGUUGAGCAUCUUUUCACACGUUUGUCUGCCUCUAAAUGUCUUCUUUGGUAAGGUUUCUGUUCAGAUUUUUUGCCUAUUUCUUAAUUAGGUUGCUUAUUUUCUUUGUUGAGUUUCAAGAGUUGUUUAUAUGUUUUACAAACAAAUUAUUUAUCAGAUAAGGGUUUUGUAUAUAUUUCCUUCUACUUCAUGCCUUGUCUUUUGAUGGUCUUAACAUUGCCUCUCACAGAGCAAAACACUUAAAUUUUAAUAAAGACAACUAUUUUUUUCCCAUGGAUGGUGGUUUUGUGUUACAUUUAAAAACUCACCAAACCCAAGGUCUCCUCGAUUUUCUCCUAUGUUUUCUUCUAGAAG